UCUUUCCAUAUUCUGCAUGAAAAACAUACAUGUAAUAUAUAGAAUUCUUUGUCUCCAUUUGUGACAAAUAUUGUGAAUAUUUUCAUGUUUGGUUUGCCUGUUCAUUUUCUUAAUGGUGUCUUUUGAAUAUUUUUUAUUAAGCCUAAUUUAUCAAAGAUUUGGGUGUGGUGGCUCAUGUCUGUAAUCCCAGCACUUUGGGAGGCCAAGGUAGGCAGAUCACCUGAGGCCAGAAGUUUGAGACCAGCCUGGCCAACGUGGUGAAACCCCGUCUCUACUAAAAAUACAAAAAUUAUCUGGGCGGGUGGCACACCCCUGUAGUCCCUGCUACUCGGGAGGCUGAGGCAGGAGAAUCACUUGAACCCAGGAGGCAGAGGUUGCAGUAAACCAAGAUAAUAAUAAUAAUGAUUUAUGAUAUUUUAUAAUAAUUUGAGUUUAAGAAAUUUGCCUACUCAAAGGACAUGAUUUUUUCCUAUGUUUUUUAUUUUUAUGGAACUUUUAUAGUUUUACCUUUUACAUUUAAGUCUGUGAUCCAUUUUGAGUUCAUUUUUGUGUACCAUAUGUGAUAAGGGUCAAGAUUCACUUUUUUAUCUGUGUGGUUGGUUGGUUCGGUUCUAUUUGUUGAGACUCUACUUUCCCAAUGACCAAGUCUUCACAGGUUUGUAAAAACUGAAGUGACAUAGAAGUGGUCUGUUCUGGACACCAUUCUUCUUGUGUGUAUAACUUUACACCAAUAUGACACUAUAUUGAUUACUGUAGUUUUAUUUGAGGCAGAAAUCUCAUUCUGUUGCCCAGGCUGGAGCGUAGUGGCACAAUCACAGCUAAUGUAACCUCGAACAUCCGGGCUCAAGUGAGCCUCUUUCCUUAGCCUCCCAAGUAGUUGGGACUGUAGGCAUGCAUCACCACUCCUGGCCAACUGUAGUUGAACUCAGGUAUUGGAAGGGCUUCCGUUUUGUUCUUUUCCCAUUUUUUUUUUUUUGACUUCUAGAUCCUUUGCAUUUUCGUAUAAAAUUUGAAGUCAACUUCUAUCAACUUCAGGCCAGGCCCGUGGCUCAUGCCUGUAUAAUCCCAGCACUUUGGGAGGCCGAGGCAGGCGGAUCACUUGAGGUCAGGAGUUCAAAACCAGCCUGGCCAAGAUGGUGAAACCCCAUCUCUACUAAAAAUACAAAAAAAUUAGCCAGGCGUGGUGGCAGGCGCCUGUAGAAUCCCAGCUACUCGGGAGGCUGAGGCAGGAGAAUUGCUUGAACCUGGGAGGUGGAGGUUUCAGUGAGCUGAGAUCGUGGCAUUGCACUCUAGCCUGGGCAACCAAGAGUGAAACUGUCUCAAAAAACAACUUUUAUCAAUGUCUGCAAAAAGAAAGUCUUCUGGGAUUUAUAGAUCAAUUUAGGGAGAAAUGACAUUUUAACAAUUCUGAGUUUUCCAAUUGUUGAACAUGGUGUACUGCCCCAUUUAUUUAGAUCUGUUAAUUUCUCUCAGUUUGCAGCUCUCACAUUUUGUUAAAUUCAUGUAUUUAAUAUUUCUGCAUGCUAUUGCAAGUGGUAAGGUUUUCAAAAAGCUGUU
rnacentral:lncRNA from 10 species